rnacentral:misc_RNA from 1 species
GAGCACAGGCUGCGAUCCGAAGGAAAGCGCCGGUUUACAAUACCGAUCGACCUCCGACCACCGCUGUUCGGUGUGCCUACAGAGCCAGUGGGAGAGGGCGGCCACGUGGUGGGCACACACACACACACUUCCACACACGCACGCAGUCAUAAUGAACUGCGCAAGACUGCAUCAGCGCAUUCCGCUGCGCGCAAUGGCGUUGACGACCACCAGCUACCCCGCACUCGCCCCUUCGCACUCGUUCGCGAACGCUAGCACGAGUGUCAUGACAGCAAGCGCGAUGGCCGUUGCGCAUCGCGCAGCAGCCACCACCGGGGCCAGCGACGCGACCACUACCGCGCAGGUUGUCCACUACUCCAAGCUUGGCAUGGAUGGCUUCACGGACAUCAAGUUCAAUACGGCCGCCGACGAGCUGCUUGAGCUCGUUGAGACGAAGGUGGAUGCUCUCGACAGCGCGGCGGUGGAGGAUGUCAGCUGUAAUGGCGGCGUUCUGACCCUCGAAACGACGGAGAGGGGCACUUUCAUCCUCAACAAGCAAGCUCCGAAUGUGCAGCUGUGGCUCUCCUCUCCUAUCUCCGGCCCUCACCACUACGACAUGAUCACCGUGACGCAGGACGGCCACGAAAAGGUGUCGUGGAAGUCGGACCAUGACGGGCAUGACUUGGUGAAGAAGCUGGAGAAGGAGUUGACGGAGGUGCUCGGCACUGCCUUCAAACUGUGAGGGAGGGCGAAAGAAGGGACUGAAAGAAGCACCGCAGAUUGGCCGCAGAGACUAGGCAGGGCGUGCAAGUCGGGCGAGCACACGUCCCUCUUUCCUUCCUUACCAUACGCUCUGCAGCGCACAUCAGCCUUGCACACUCCUCCUACUCAGCCCCCUCCAUCCCUCACAGCCACCCUCCCUUUCUCUCUCCGCACCAAUCUGAUCAUUUUUAGCAGCUCCGCAGCUCUUCUUCUCUGUGCAUGGUGUUUCGCUUCCAGGUUGCCUUGGUUGGCUUAUCACGUUUUACUUGGUUGACAAGGUCUCCGGCCUGCUCCUCCGUAAGCCACAUCGCUGCCGCCACCGCGGCCGUCUCGCACCCCGGCCCUUCCUUCUUGUACACAUCACGUACGUUGGUGUUUUGGCCGCAGUCACCGUCGUUGGUAUGUGCCGUCGCUUCCUCUCUCCGCUGACCCCUCCUCAAGCGGAUGGUGCCAAAGCCGCGUGUUAGCUGGCGUCCUGCCUGCUGCCGGUCACGAUAAGCGUGUGUGCGUACGCGCAGGCUAGACGAGGGAAACGAAGAGAUAUAAAAGAUGGGGAUAGAGGCGAUGUGACGCGCUCCCCUCUCAGGCCAGCACUCAACUCCUUCCCACUCACCACCCAAGCUGUCGGCCAUCUCUUUGCCUGCCUAUCUCACUACAGGUUCAGACGGCGGUGGUGUCACUGCCGUUUUUUUUUCUUGUGCGACGAUGAUGGUGUCUUGCGUGGUCUCAGGGCGCGGCUGUCGCUCCCUCUCUGUGCCUGUGUGUGUAUGUGUGUGUGUGUGUGUUGGUCACGCAUAUGUGUGGGAUUGCGUGAGUGAGUGGAAGAGCGGGUGCCUGUGAUUUGGUGGUGGGCGGUGCUCACUGUUGCCUUCUCCUUGUCGCCACUUUCUUUCCUCUCCUUCUCUGUCUCCAAGGAAGCAAACAAGCUGAAGGCUGGAUGUGUUGGAACCACCACUCCUAAGCGGGUGCCUCGUCCCAGCCACUUUGGUCCGUAUAUCUGUAUUUUGCUACCUUGUUGUAGUCCUCGGCCCGCCUUCACGACUGCGCACCUCGCUCCUGCCUUUGCCGCUCUACCCUUUCCCUGCGAAGGAGCUGUCCUCGUACGCCAACUUGGCGACUGUCCCCACACACCACACCACCCCUCCUCGAUCCCUCUCGCUCGCUCUAAAUCACGCACCGGCGCACACGUCUGCGUCUACGUCGUGGUGUAUUGAAG